rnacentral:rRNA from 1 species
AUGAGCAGGAGAGAAAAAGGGAGGACAAGAGGAGGCCAGAGGAAGAGAGAUGGGAGCGGUGACCGCGUACGACCGCCCCGACCACACGGUCGCGGCUUGGCCACCGCGGCCUCCGCGCGGAGCUUCGCGACUACGACCAGCCGGAGGUGGAGGCCAUCAUGUGGUGGGCCGUUAGGUCGGGCUUCAGGGACAACGUCGUCCUGCUCCGCAAGGUCAUCGGCCCCUACCUCAGCGCUAACGGCAGGUGCGUCAACGUCGACCACAGAGCUAGCUUCCCCUCCAGUAUUGGAUCGUCGAGCGCUUCCCUGCCAGGGAAGAUGGCAUACCUGCCUUUCCUGCCCUGCAUCUGAAUCCCCAUACGUGUACCUCCCCUUCAUGUUCAUCUACCUGGAGCUGGGACGGCGGAUCCCGUUCGUUCGGGCGCUCGAGGAGGGGUACUACCCCGAGGACGAAAGCCGGCGCCUGUUAUGGUUCAGGGGGUCCGCGUUCCGCCUGAGAGACGACAUGGCGUUCCUCGGGUUCCCUUGA